CCCGCUGAACUUAAGCAUAUCAAUAAGGCGAGGAACAGAAACCAACAGGGAUUCCCCUAGUAGUGGCGAAUGAAGCGGGAAAAGCUCAAGUUUGAAAUCUGGUGGGCUCAUCCCAUCAGAGUUGUAAGCUGAAGAGGCAUCGACCGACGUCGUCUGGGCCCAAUUUCCUUGGAACAGGAAGUCAUGGAGGGUGAGAACCCCGUCUGUGGCUCAGAGCCUUCGUCCUUGUGUCGUGUCCUCGAAGAGUCGGGUUGUUUGGGAAUGCAGCUCAAAAUGGGUGGUAAAUUCCAUCUAAGGCUAAAUACUGGCGAGAGACCGAUAGCAAACAAGUAGAGUGAUCGAAAGAUGAAAAGUACUUUGAAAAGAGAGUGAAACAGUACGUGAAAUUGUUGAAAGGGAAGCGUUUGGCAUCAGCCCAUGGUGUUCAUCGAUCAUUCAGGCUUCUGUCUGAUGCACUUGAUGGAUGCCGGGUCAGCGUCGGCUUUGCCCGCCGGAGAAAGGUCUUGGGGAUGUGGCUCCCUUAGGGGUGCGUUAUAACCCUCGAUGUCAUGCGGCGUGGCGGGGCCGAGGUCCACGGUUUAUCCUAGGACGCUGGCGUAAUGGUUCCAAGCGACCCGUCUUGAAACACGG
rnacentral:rRNA from 1 species